rnacentral:rRNA from 1 species
GACGAACGCUGGCGGCGUGCUUAACACAUGCAAGUCGAGCGAGGCCCACCUUUCGGGGUGGUGUCCUAGCGGCGAACGGGUGAGUAACACGUGGGCAACCUGCCCCCGGCUCGGGGAUAACCCCAAGAAAUUGGGGCUAAUACCGGAUACGACCGCUGACCGCAUGGUCUGGUGGUGGAAAGAUUUAUCGGCUGGGGAUGGGCCCGCGGCCUAUCAGCUUGUUGGUGGGGUAGUGGCCUACCAAGGCGACGACGGGUAGCCGGCCUGAGAGGGUGACCGGCCACACUGGGACUGAGACACGGCCCAGACUCCUACGGGAGGCAGCAGUGGGGAAUAUUGCGCAAUGGGCGGAAGCCUGACGCAGCGACGCCGCGUGGGGGAUGACGGCCUUCGGGUUGUAAACCUCUUUCAGCAGGGACGAAGCCGCAAGGUGACGGUACCUGCAGAAGAAGCACCGGCCAACUACGUGCCAGCCGCCGCCGUAAGAC